rfam:Tinamus guttatus contig5079, whole genome shotgun sequence.
GUUUCUGUAGUGUAGUGGUUAUCACGUUCGCCUCACACACGAAAGGUCCCCGGUUCGAAACCAGGCAGAAACA